UGACUGCGAAGUAGUAGAACAGAAUCUAGUCAGGGUAGGCUUGAGUAAACAAAUAUGUUUUAAGCCUAGACUUAAACACUGAGACUGUGUCUGAGUCCCGAACACUAAUAGGAAGACUGUUCCAUAACUGUGGGGCUCUAUAAGAGAAAGCUCUUCCCCCUGCUGUAGCCUUCACUAUUCGAGGUACCGUCAGAUAGCCUGCAUCUUUUGAUCUAAGUAGGCGUGGCGGAUCAUAUAAAACCAAAAGGUCGCUUAGAUAUUGUGGCGCGAGACCGUUUAGUGCUUUAUAGGUUAAUAAAAGUAUUUUAUAAUUAAUGCGAGAUUUCACUGGGAGCCAAUGCAGUAUCGAUAAUAUCGGUGUGAUAUGGUCGUAUCUUCUAGUUCUAGUUAGGACUCUAGCAGCUGCAUUCUGGACUAACUGGAGCUUAUUUAUAUUCCUACUGGAACAUCCAGACAGUACGGCAUUACAGUAAUCUAAUCUAGAGGUGACGAAAGCAUGAACUAGUAUUUCCGCAUCAUGUAGUGACAAUAUGUUUCUUAUUUUAGAAAUAUUUCUGAGAUGAAAGAAGGCUAUCCUAGUAAUAUUAUCUACAUGAGCAUCAAAUGAUAGACUGGAGUCAAUAAUCACUCCAAG
ensembl:lncRNA